rnacentral:rRNA from 1 species
UACAGGGGGUGCAAGCGUUAUUCGGAAUUAUUGGGCGUAAAGAGCGUGUAGGUGGUUUACUAAGUUUGGUGUGAAAGCCCUGGGCUCAAUCCAGGAAGUGCAUUGAAUACUGGUAGACUUGAGUGGAGGAGAGGAUGGCGGAAUUCCAGGUGUAGAGGUGAAAUUCGUAGAUAUCUGGAGGAACAACAGUGGCGAAGGCGACUUCCUGGCCUGUUCUUGACGCUGAGGCGCGAAAGCUAGGGUAGCAAACGGG